rnacentral:rRNA from 1 species
CUUGCAUCAUUCAAUUCAGCGGCGGACGGGUGAGUAAUACCUAGGAAUCUGCCUGGUAGUGGGGGACAACGUUUCGAAAGGAACGCUAAUACCGCAUACGCCCUACGGGGGAAAGCAGGGGACCUUCGGGCCUUGCGCUAUCAGAUGAGCCUAGGUCGGAUUAGCUAGUUGGUGAGGUAAUGGCUCACCAAGGCUACGAUCCGUAACUGGUCUGAGAGGAUGAUCAGUCACACUGGAACUGAGACACGGUCCAGACUCCUACGGGAGGCAGCAGUGGGGAAUAUUGGACAAUGGGCGAAAGCCUGAUCCAGCCAUGCCGCGUGUGUGAAGAAGGUCUUCGGAUUGUAAAGCACUUUAAGUUGGGAGGAAGGGCAGUAAGCGAAUACCUUGCUGUUUUGACGUUACCGACAGAAUAAGCACCGGCUAACUCUGUGCCAGCAGCCGCGGUAAUACAGAGGGUGCAAGCGUUAAUCGGAAUUACUGGGCGUAAAGCGCGCGUAGGUGGUUCGUUAAGUUGGAUGUGAAAUCCCCGGGCUCAACCUGGGAACUGCAUCCAAAACUGGCGAGCUAGAGUAGGGCAGAGGGUGGUGGAAUUUCCUGUGUAGCGGUGAAAUGCGUAGAUAUAGGAAGGAACACCAGUGGCGAGCGACCACCUGGGCUCAUACUGACACUGAGGU